AGCAGCCGCGGUAAUUCCAGCUCCAAUAGCGUAUAUUAAAGUUGUUGCAGUUAAAGAGCUCGUAGUUGAACUUCGGGGUUUACCCAUUGGUCAGGCUUAAUUGUCUGCACUGGUGAGAUGAAUCUCUACCUUCUGAGGAACUUUCAUGCCAUUUAUUUGGUGUGAUGGGAAAUCAGGACUGUUACUUUGAAAAAAUUAGAGUGUUUAAAGCAGGCUAACGUCUGAAUACAUCAGCAUGGAAUAAUGAAAUAGGACGGACUGAUUCUAUUUCGUUGGUUUCUAGGAUCACCGUAAUGAUUAAUAGGGAUAGUUGGGGGCAUUAGUAUUCAAUUGUCAGAGGUGAAAUUCUUGGAUUUAUUGAAGACUAACUACUGCGAAAGCAUUUGCCAAGGAUGUUUUCAUUAAUCAAGAACGAAAGUUAGGGGAUCGAAGACGAUCAGAUACCGUCGUAGUCUUAACCAUAAACUAUGCCGACUAGGGAUCGGACGAAGUUAAUUUUAUAAUGACGCGUUCGGCACCUUACG
rnacentral:rRNA from 1 species